rnacentral:rRNA from 1 species
UACGAAGGGGGCUAGCGUUGUUCGGAAUUACUGGGCGUAAAGGGCGCGUAGGCGGUGUGUCAAGUCAGGCGUGAAAGCCCCGGGCUCAACCUGGGAACCGCGCUUGAGACUGGCACGCUCGAGUUCGGGAGAGGAUGGUGGAAUUCCCAGUGUAGAGGUGAAAUUCGUAGAUAUUGGGAAGAACACCGGUGGCGAAGGCGGCGACCUGGUCCUUGACUGACGCUGAGGCGCGAAAGCGUGGGGAGCAAACAGG